UACGUAGGUGGCGAGCGUUAUCCGGAUUUAUUGGGUUUAAAGGGUGCGUAGGCGGUGCCGUAAGUCAGUGGUGAAAGUCGUCAGCUCAACUGUCGGAUUGCCAUUGAUACUGCGGUGCUAGAGUAUAGUAGAGGUAGGCGGAAUUUAAGGUGUAGCGGUGAAAUGCAUAGAUACCUUAAAGAACACCGAUUGCGUAGGCAGCUUACUGGACUAUAACUGACGCUGAGGCACGAAAGUAUGGGAAUCAAACAGG
rnacentral:rRNA from 1 species